rnacentral:tmRNA from 1 species
GGGGGCGUAAUGGUUUCGACGGGGACUUUGAAGAUUUGCUAGCGGGUAGAGCUGAAGUAACUCUAUAAACUGCUUCAAAAAGAAUAAGUGCCAAUUACGAACCUGAACUCGUAGCUGCUUAAGUCGGCUACCGUCCACGCCGGGAGGGCCACGACCCGGCGCUGGGCGUGAUGUAGUGGCGAACGUGAACCGCCAGUUAGCGUUUAUAACGGUCACGGAUAAAAACGCUGCCCUGCAGUAACCUUGUCCGUUCGGCGGCUGCGGGGGAGAAAUGUGAACGGACUACACCCGUAGAAGGCAAUUCGGAUGAGUUUUCGGACAGGGGUUCGACUCCCCUCGCCUCCACCA